GCGACGCUGGCGGCAUGCCUAACACAUGCAAGUCGAACGAGAAAGUCACUUCGGUGGUGAUUAAAGUGGCGCACGGGUGAGUAACGCGUAGACAAUCUGCCCUUCAGUCUGGGACAACUUUUUGAAAGGAGAGCUAAUACCGGAUAACAAUGUUUGACAUAAGUUAAAUAUUUGAAAGCUUUAUGUGCUGAAGGAGGGGUCUGCGUCCCAUUAGCUAGUUGGUGAGGUAAAGGCUUACCAAGGCAACGAUGGGUAGCGGGUUUGAGAGGACGAUCCGUCACACUGGAACUGAGACACGGUCCAGACUCCUACGGGAGGCAGCAGUGGGGAAUAUUGCACAAUGGAGGAAACUCUGAUGCAGCAAUGUCGCGUGAGUGAAGAAGGCCCUUGGGUCGUAAAGCUCUUUUAUGGGGGAAGAUGAUGACGGUACCCCAGGAAUAAGCACCGGCUAACUACGUGCCAGCAGCCGCGGUAAUACGUAGGGUGCGAGCGUUGUUCGGAAUUACUGGGCGUAAAGGGCGCGCAGGCGGAAUAGCAAGUCGGAGGUGAAAGCCCGGGGCUCAACCCCGGAGGGUCUUUCGAAACUGCUAAUCUAGAGAGGGUCAGGGGCCAGCAGAAUUCCUGGUGUAGAGGUGAAAUUCGUAGAUAUCAGGAGGAAUACCGGUGGCGAAAGCGGCUGGCUGGGGCCACUCUGACGCUGAGGCGCGAAAGCGUGGGGAGCAAACGGGAUUAGAUACCCCGGUAGUCCACGCCGUAAACGAUGAGCACUGGAUGUCCGGAGGGUUCGACCCUUCUGGGUGUUUCAGCUAACGCAUUAAGUGCUCCGCCUGGGGAGUACGGUCGCAAGACUAAACUCAAAUGAUGCG
rnacentral:rRNA from 1 species